UGGGGUGUAGUUCAGUUGGUAGAACGCCUGACUCUGGAUCAGGAAGUCUGAGGUUCGAAUCCUCACACCCCAG
rnacentral:tRNA from 1 species